UGUUGCUGGAAAUUGGACCCGGGGGCGACCACGGGCUGAGAAGGAGGAGUUCCGGCUGGUGGUGCGUCGACGGGCGGCGUCCUCCGGGGAUCCUGCAAGAAGCCGGUAGCCGGGGUUUCCGGCGCUGGCCCUCCGAUGCUUAAGUCAGAGGGGGCUAUUGUGAAGAGGGAGAGAAUAAUUUCUGAAAUUCUCAGAGUCCCCGAUCCCCCGUUUAGUAAAGAGGUUUUCCUUUUAUAGAGGGGUACAGGAUUACCUAUGAUGUGACGGGGCGAAUUAAAUGAGUUACCGUCAUGAUUGAGCACGAUCGUGUGAAUUAAUGCACUGCCGUGGAGGGCUGGACUGGAGCCAAUGAGUUGCAGUGGGUGACUGGGCGUAGUUGAGUGAGUCAACUGGCUGUCGUGGAGGGCUUAAGAUUUUGAGUAGGUCGGAGAUCCGUAGAGGCCGUGUACAUUAAUUGUUGAGUAAGCCGGAGAUCUGCAGAGGCCAUGCGCAUUAAUUGUUAAGUAAGCCGGAGAUCUGCGGAGGCCAUGCGCAUUAAUUGCUGACAGUCGCCCAAAGCAUGGUCCCUGGUUGAUAUGUCAUGGCAUGGCUGGCGAGCGGAGCAUGGUGCGGCGAGGUUGUCGCAGGGCGUGGCCGCAGCAUGUGAACGAUAAAGUCAGCCUUCGGAGGUCAGCUCGGCGUUUUGAAGUUGGGAAUGUCGAGAUCGGGCGCCUCCAGGUCGGGCGUCUCGGGGUCGGGUGCCCCCAGUCACGUGCUGGCGAUGCGUUCACGUGUUUCGGGACGAUCCAUUUUUUCCCCAACACUACCCCCCGACUUCCGAGUUCGAGCCGCUUACGAGCUCGGGCGAGGAAAAUAGUUGCCUUUAUUGCACUAGUGGGGGCCAGGUAGCUUUAAAUUAUUCCGUCGUUUCGCAUGCUUCGGGGCAUCUUUAAUGAGAGAAGACGGGGCGACGUCCUUUCGCUUUUCGAGAUUGCUUCACGUCGUGGGCUCAUGAUGAGGUUGCAAGAUCCGACGGGACGCCGCCUCGAUUCCGCUUUUGAGGUGCCGAUCCAGGUUGGUACGUCGCUUCGAUUUUCGGAGCAGACGCGUGUCGCGAUCUAGACGGAAGGCGGGAUCCGGUCUUGCUGAUCUGGGCCGUUGGGAAGAUCUAUAUAAACCCCCUGACUUAGCCCUAGAAAGUUCUAUUUGGCCGCCACAGUUGCUGCUCUCCUCUUCUUCCUUUGUCUCCUUUC
rnacentral:lncRNA from 1 species